rnacentral:rRNA from 1 species
CAAGGCUUGACAUACACCAGACCGGUCUGGAAACAGGUCUUCCCCUUUGGGGUUGGUGUACAGGUGGUGCAUGGUUGUCGUCAGCUCGUGUCGUGAGAUGUUGGGUUAAGUCCCGCAACGAGCGCAACCCUCGUUCUAUGUUGCCAGCACGUGAUGGUGGGAACUCAUAGGAGACUGCCGGGGUCAACUCGGAGGAAGGUGGGGAUGACGUCAAAUCAUCAUGCCCUUUAUGUCUUGGGCUUCACGCAUGCUACAAUGGCUGGUACAGAGAGAGGCGAACCCGUGAGGGCAAGCGAAUCCCUUAAAGCCAGUCUCAGUUCGGAUCGUAGUCUGCAAUUCGACUACGUGAAGUCGGAGUCGCUAGUAAUCGCAGAUCAGCAACGCUGCGGUGAAUACGUUCCC